rnacentral:lncRNA from 1 species
UGGAAACCAUAAAUUUCCCGAGGAAACUUUUACUGGGAGCAGUCGUUGUACUAGCAUUACUCUGCUUGCUUACUGUCAUGAACUUAAAGGUGAAUUAUUGUCGCCCCAAGAUAUGCUCAAGAAAGUACAAGUCAAUUUUUACUUACUGGCCGGAGCAGUCAAAAUAUGGAUAUACAGAGACUACGUAAGCAUAUUUAAAAAUAAAAAUAAACUACAAACAGAGCAUGUGACACAGACAUACUACAGAGGC